UACGUAGGGUGCGAGCGUUGUCCGGAAUUAUUGGGCGUAAAGGGCUCGUAGGCGGUUUGUCGCGUCGGGAGUGAAAUCCACUGGCUUAACUGGUGGCUUGCUUUCGAUACGGGCAGACUGGAGGUAUGCAGGGGAGAACGGAAUUCCUGGUGUAGCGGUGAAAUGCGCAGAUAUCAGGAGGAACACCGGUGGCGAAGGCGGUUCUCUGGGCAUGUCCUGACGCUGAGGAGCGAAAGUGUGGGGAACGAACAGG
rnacentral:rRNA from 1 species